UACGGAGGGAGCAAGCGUUACUCGGAAUUAUUGGGCGUAAAGGGCGCGUAGGCGAUCUGAAAAGUUCUGUGUGAAAGCCCACAUGUUAACUGUGGAAGUGCACAGAAAACUGUUGGAUUUGAGUUCAGGAGAGGAAGGCAGAAUUCCCGGUGUAGCGGUGAAAUGCGUAGAGAUCGGGAGGAACACCUGUGGCGAAGGCGGUCCCCUGGGCCGGCCCUGACACUGAGACGCGAAGGCGUGGGGAGCGAACGGG
rnacentral:rRNA from 1 species